GGAGAGAGAAGCAAGAAAGGUGAUGAGGCCAGUUGUGACAGAGAGGAGGGGCCCUGACACCCCAUCUGCCACCUUCGGCACUUGGGAGGUCCCUCUGGCCUACUGUGUCCCAAGCCCAGUACAUUUUAGACCAGGCAUGUGGCCCUGGCCAAGGCCCUGCCCCUGUCUGAUCACUCUGUAGUGGAGGGAAUUCCUGCCCCACGAGGGCCGUCCCUAGACAGAGCUGAGUCAGCUGGUCCCCCCUCCACCACAGGGCAAAGUCAAAUGCAAGCACCUCCCACCCCAGGGAACUCUGACACUAGCCCUGAGAUCAGCUCAGAUGAGAAGACGACAAGGGAAGGUGCACAGGGAGCAGGGGACAGCAGGUCUGGACAUGGCCGGCACGGUGGCUCCUCCCCGGUGACCUUUGACCUCACAACGCCUCUGUCUCCCGCCCUGCCGGGACGCAGCUGGAUUGUAAGGUGGACGGAUACGGAGCGGCCAGCCUGUCCUGCCCUGUGAGCUGGGUGAGCCGGCCCCAGUAAGUGAGAAUGGACGUGAAUGGCAGCAGUCACUGGUCAGCAGACUCUUGGGAAACUCUGCUGUUUGACAUCUUAUCAGUAAGAACAGAUCGUCUCUUGCCUGGAGGAUCCAUGUCAUUUUAACAAAGAGAAGCUGCUUCAAUUUCCAACCCAGGUGCGAACUUCAGAUAAGGGGUUUUGGAAACACAUCAUUCGCAUCUAUCUUUUACCUACCUUUAUUUCCAAGAAAAUAAGACCGUGGGUUCAAUUCCCAGUAGAGACUUGGGGUUGAACUCUAUGCCCUCAUCCUAGUCCCACCCCUAGAGAUACUACGUCUCUUAUUCUAGAGCCUUCACAGGCUGACUGUUGCCUUCCUAAUCCCCCCAGGGCUACAUUCUCCAAUGCACUCCCACCCCAGUGCUGUGCCUCUCUCAUUACAGGCUCCCCCUCUAUGUUUCCCGCUUUAUACCUCGUCGCCAAUUACGUGCCCACACUAUCAGCGUCCACCCACUUCCCCCAUUAAAGCCCGGAGCUCCUUUCCAAGGGGCCCCAUCCUCCUCUGCGUCCCGCAGCGGAACCCCAGUGCCAGAGGAGAGGCGCCAAGCCGGACAGGAGGCGCUUGAGUGGUCUUCCCGGAAGUGCGCCUCCCCCCAGGCUUCCCCAGCACCGCGGCGCGGGGCUGCGA